rnacentral:misc_RNA from 1 species
CAACCCUCAAGCCCGCUGCGCGCUUGCUGUUGGGGACCGGCUCACCCGCCUCGCGGCGGCGGCCGCCCCCGAAAUGAAUCGGCGGUCUCGUCGCAGCCUCCUUUGCGUAGUAACACACCACCUCGCAACCGGGAGCGCGGCGCGGCCACUGCCGUAAAACGCCCAACUUUCUCCAAGAG